UACGGAGGGUGCAAGCGUUAUCCGGAUUCACUGGGUUUAAAGGGUGCGUAGGCGGCUUUUUAAGUCAGUGGUGAAAUCCUAGUGCUCAACACUAGAACUGACAUUGAAACUGAAGAGCUUGAGUCAAGGAGAGGUAAGCAGAAUUUAUGGUGUAGCAGUGAAAUGCUUAGAUACCAUAAGGAAUACCGACAGCGAAGGCAGCUUACUGGCCCGGUACUGACGCUGAGGUGCGAAAGCGUGGGGAGCAAACAGG
rnacentral:rRNA from 1 species